UAUUAUACUAAAAAAUUUAUAAAAACUAAAAUAUUAUAAGAUAAAAUCUUUAAAUUUAAAGAAUUUGGCGGUAAUUUAGUCUUUCCAGAGGAACCUGUUUUGUAAUCGAUAAACCACGAAGAAUCUUACUUAUUUAUGUUUAAGUUAUAAGUUUGUAUACCGUCAUUAUUAGAUAAUGUUUAGAGAAAAUUAUUGAAUUUUAAAUAAUAAAAUAAAUUAGAUCAAGGUGCAGCCUAUAAAUAAGUUAAAAUGGGUUACAAUUAAGUUAAUGUAAUAUGAAAUAAAUUUUGAAAUGGAUUUAGGAAGGAGGAUUUGGUUGUAAUAGGAAUUAAUAAGGUAAAAAGAUAUAAGCUCUAAAUUAU
rnacentral:rRNA from 1 species